rnacentral:lncRNA from 12 species
CAGAGACGCUGGUGCUCUCAGACUAGAGUCUCAGGUCUAGACUAGAGAGAGGGGUGAAGUGCCCCCAGGGAGUUCCUGGGCGCGACGAUGGGCACCAGGACCAGGUGACUUCCUGGCCUUCUUCAGUUCGCUCUUUCAACACAUAGUCAUGCAUCAGACUAGAUGCUCGGGAUACGCAGGUGAGCCAGACAGGUGUUCCGUGGGGCUUUUGGUUCAGUGGGAAGCGGUCACUAGACACACAGUCACGUAAGAGAUGACCUAAACUGUGAGGUGUACUAGGAAGGACCAUUACUGCUCAAAGGGAAUAGAAGCCCAUUUUGAUGAUUUAGGGAGAUGCCAGGACUGGGUGGGCUUCUGCAGAAGUGACCUUUCAACUGAGGCCUGAAGGGUGGAAAGGUGCUAGCUUCCCUCUCCCCCACCUUCCCUUGCCUGGGUUCUUUUGUUCUCAGGUACUUUCAUGAGAGAGGCAGAGAGAGAGGCAGAGACACAGGCAGAGGGAGAAGUGGGGUCCCUGUGGGGAACCCUAUGUAGGACUCGAUCCAGGACCCGGGGAUCACGCCCUGAGCCAAAGGCAGAUGCUCAACCACUGAGCCACCUGGACGUCCCUGUACUUCGGAGGCAUCUGCUGCAGGCCUCUACCAUCACAGGCCAUACCAGGAGGGCUGGGAGAGAAGUAACACUGCCAAGUCCCUGUCCCACUGUGUUCAGGUGCUGGAAACCUACCACUGCCAGGCCACAGGAAAUUUGCCUCUGGGCUCCUCUCGAACUAAGAACAAAAGCCGUCUGGAAGAAAAAUGUCCUCAUGACUUUGAGAAGCUACCAAGAACCUCGUGUAAGUUUUUUUUUUUUUUUUCCCUAAACAGGUAUUUAGUUCACUUCACUGUCACAGCAUUCUUAAAAAGUUGUGCGAAACAUAGCAUGUUCAUCAAGAGAAUUCCAUUUUCAGCAUCCUGGGGGAGUUCAUUCUGUUCAGGAACUCUUCAAGGAAAUCCUUUUAAUUGUCACACCUUAGAUAUAGGGCCACCCGCACUUUCUAGGGUGGGGCAGGGAAGCUAUCCGAGAAAGGAUUGCUUCUCUGCUCACACCCAUCCAAGCGCUCAUACUAGUACAGUUUGUACUCACAGACACCCACACUCACGCCAAAACAGCCCCACAAUGCCCUUCCACACUUGCUGUGCACACAUGCGCAGGCAUGCUCUCGCGUGCAGCCUUGUUUCCUGCCAAAGGAGCUGCACACGUGGAGCGGAGCACCAGGAUCUGUUUUCUCCAGGGAACAGCUGUUGCUUAUCUAUUAGAACAUAAAAUUCAGGGUCAGAGGCCUCUGGGGCCCCAGCUCACUCAGCCUGUGGAGAAAGCCUGGUUUCGAAGUUUCUUUAUCUGAAAACUUCCCCUCCAGUUGUUUGUGGAGAACUGGAUUUGUUUUUUUAAAGAUGCUAUACAUAAUUACCCCCAAAUCAAGUCCUGCUAGAAGAGUAGGUUUCCAUUCACUCAUACGACAGGAGUUUUGGGGUUUUUUUGAGGGCCUAUGAAACUACAGGCAUCAUGGUAAGUACCGGGGGUUUAGCAGUGAAUAAGGAGAUGCUGCUUCUGUGCCUGCAGAGCUCAGAGUCUUUGGGAAUUGUCGGUUUUCCAUGGCUGCCGUAACAAACUUGCCUCAAAGGUAGGGCUUUAUUUUAUCCUAUUUUUAAAAAGGAUUUGUUUAUUUAUUUGAGAGAGAGAGACAGCGAGAGAGAGAGAGAGAGAGAGAGAGAGAGAAAGAGAGAAAGAGAGCACAAGCAGAGGGAGAGGCAGAAGCAGGCUCCCCGCCGAGCAGGGAGCCUGAUAGCCAUGUGGCCUCACCCCAGGACCCUAAGAUAAUG